GUAUGUGGAGCGCAGCAUCCAAGCCAAGAGAAGAACACGCUCGAUAAAUCAAGACUCCUCCGGGCUCUCUACGCCAGUGGGGCAGCAGGUCAGUGCUGCUGUAAGGAUCACUCUCUCUCUCUCUCUCUCUGUCUCUCUUUCUUUCUCACUGAGAGGACAAAGAGAUCCUUUCGCUCCCCGUAAUAGCGCCCUCCUCAUACUACGAGAAAAAGAACGAAAGAGAGACAGAGUGAGAGAAAAAGAUAGAGAGAGAGAGAGAGAGAGAGAAGCCCUUUCCCUUCCAUUUCCUCGAGCAUAUCUACUUUUAUUUUUCUAAUUCUAAUUCUAAUACUAAGUAUACUUUUCUAUUAAUAUUUCUCUUUCCUCUUUCUCCUUCUAUUAUUAUUUCUCUCCUCCUCUUACUUCUUCUUCUCCUUCCAACGGACUCUUCGUAGUUACUAACUCUCCGCCUCUCUCUCUCUCUUUUUUCUUUAACCAACCCCCUAGUUACCUAUCCUCCUAUCGUCUCUAUGGUCGAAAAAGGGUAGGGAGGGGUAUAGUAGUCUGGAGGGGAGCGCAGCCGUCAUUGCAAAGAUGCAACUGUGCCUGUAAACUCUCUGCCACUGUGCAACGCAAGCGCAACGACGGGAUGCAGCUGUCGCGUGCUCGGUAUAUGUUCGAGGAACUCUGCAGAAGAAGACCGAUUAUAAACUCUCGUGUUGCUUGAUUUAUCUUUUUUUUUUUUUCUUCUUUUUUUUUCUUCGCUUAACAUCUUCGACAAAUUUGCUUACCCAUAGAUUAGGUGCAGCCUAGAGUACGAGUGUAUGGUCGUCAUCGGACGAUUGUAAGAGGAAGAAAAAAACAAAUAUAAAUUAUAAAGAAAAGAAAAAAAAGAGAAAAAAAUAGAAGAAAUAAAGAAAGGAAAAAAAAAGAAAGAAAUUUAGAAAGAUUAGAAAGCCAAGAAGAAGAUUAAGUGAGAUAGACGAUAAGCAGAUUCGUUUAAGAAACGAUCGAACGAUCAAAUGAAUGAAUGAAUGAAUGAAUGAAUGAAUGAAUGAAUGAAAUGAUUCACAAGUAAUCACGGCCGCUGAAACUGUUACGAGCUUUUGCGAGUUGGAGAGAGAGAGAGAGAGAGAGAGGGAGAGAAAGAGAAAGCAAGAAGAAGAGAGAGAGAGAGAUAGAGACAGAGAAACUUGUCUCUCUUCGAAUGUACUUACGACGAUCGCCGAUCUCGAAGUGGAGAUUGCACCGGUGCAACGAGUUCUACGUGCCGUGCAUAAUUUUGGAUAUAAGUGAGACAGAGAGAGAGAGAGAGAGAGAGAGAGAGAGAGAGAUAAGGAUAAAAUAAAUGAGAGAAGAAGGGGAAAAUAAUAAAAAAAAGUACCCUUCCCAUCUAUCGUGCUUGGAAAUCAGUAAAGAAAAGGAAGGAAGUAACAAAAGAGAAUUUUGAAAGAGGAGCCGCCACGGGCCAAUUCGAGUGGGAGAAAUUCUCGCAACAUGUGGUUAACGCGAAGUAACGACUCUGCGUUGUAACGUUACUGCUUAGACAGACAUAUUGUGGCUUUAGUGCUCGCAAGUAUAUAUGUAUAUAUAUAUAUAUAUAUAUAUAUAUAUAUGUACAUACAUUUAUUAUAUAGAAAAAAAAGUCUUGAAAAUUCAACACGAAGGUUCCAACUCUACUUGACACAACUCUCUUUCAGUUCUCUCUCCCUCUCUCUCUCUCUUAGCUCUCUUUUUCUUAUUACAAAAAAUAUUAAUUACACGUAGAAUUCACGAAGAAUUAUUUCCAAGAUCAUAUUCGCGUGAUCGCGAAUAUUACGUUUCAUAGUGAACGUUUAAAUAAUAUUUUCUAAGAAAGAAUUUUCAUUAUCUAAAGUUUAUAUAUUAUGUUUAUCUUAUCGUUUCGUUUUGUUUUGUAUUGUUUUCGAGAAGAAUAUGUUUAAAAAAGAAGUUUAGAAGCUUAUCGUAGAGAAAAUCGAUGCGGAUGGUUCGAUGUCCGUAUUUAAAGCUUUUUUGAAUACACCCACACGCCCAGUUCGAUUCGUAGCACAAGCUCCAGUCCGCAGAAACGACGUAAAUUUCACGCGUAUUUACGUUUAUACGAUCUUGUGUUCGCAAAAAAAAAGAGAGAAAGAGAGAGAGAGAAAGAGAAAGGGUGGCUCUAAAAAUCUCUCGACCGAGAAAAAAAGAACUUGAAGCUUGGCGUUAAAAAAUAAACGAAAACAGGAAAAAAGGAACAACAAUAACAAGGACAUAAAAUAUUCUCUUGUUAUGCGAACUUUUUAUGAGACUGAAAAUGAUCGAAAUUUACAAAGAAAUUUGUUCUCUCGUCGGAAUUGUUCGGAUUAUUUAUUAUUAUUAACCAAAAAGUAAUUUUUAUUUAUUUUAUUUUAUUUAUUUAUUUUUUUUCUUUUUUUUUCAAACGAACGAACGAACGAACGAAACUUCGUAAAUAUCGAAAAGAAAGAGAGGGAAAGAGAGAGAGAGAGAGAGAGAGAGAGAGAGAGGGAGGGAGGGAGAGAGAGAGGACGGAGGGAAGGGAGAGAUCGUAUCGCGCUACAUUUUGCGACUGCAUCCACGUGCGAUCGUUUUACUCACGAUAAAUGUACGUAUCGCAAAGAGAAGAGAAAGAACUCUCGCGACGAGAGUAGUCACGCAACGAGUUUGCUAUCCGAUGUAUCUACCUACGUGACGUGCCACCCCUGUCGGCAGAUUAUCGCGAAAGAUGUCUAAGGCGAUCUCCUCUCCUUCUUUUCUAAACGACCGAACGGAAGGAAAUUUUUGGAAAGGCACGUAUAUCCAUUAUUAUCAAAUUUUACAUUUACGUGACGGCGCAAAGAUCCAAAAUUUUCGAAUCAAUUAUAAUCGUUCUUGUCGUUUUAACCAUCAAUGAUUUACGUAACGUCAUUAAAUUCAUUAUUAAUUGACAAUACUUAAAUAUACGCUUAAGAUUAUAUAAAAUUUAUUUUAUAGAAAUGAAAAACAUGGUCCUUUCUGUCCACUUCGAAUUUAUUCUUCUGAAAAAUCACUGACACGUACUACUAAUAUUGUAAAACAUUCCCAAAAAUACUAAUCCAGACUUUCUAUAAUACGUUCAUUUUGGUAUUUAUCGAUUUAACAGUAGUCUUGUUAGCGUAAUAUAUGGAUAACAAAAACUUAACGGUUUUUUCAGUCACUGGAAAUAAUAUCAGUAUCAAAAUCAAACCGGUUUUAAAUCCCUAGAUGGGGGUGUUUAUUACCGAGUAUAAAGGUGUGUCUAUAUGUUUGAAUUGGAGGGGAGUUUUACCGAAAAGGGGGUUAUAACUAAAGAGGGGAUGCCUAUCCGUAACUUCAACAGAAAGUUGCCACUCCCCUAUCAAAGUAAGCCACGCCCCAUCAAAGUGAACCACGCCCCAUCAAAGUGAACCACGCCCUAUAAAAGUGAACCACGCCUCACCGAAGAUAGUCAUGCCCUACCGUUAAGUUACCCAAGACCCCACCAAAGUUAGAACCGCCCUCUGGUAAGUUAGCCUGCUCCUUCACCAAUUGGUCCUGCCCCCACUCUAUUUAAACCCGCCCCCUCCAAAAUUAGUCAUGCCCAACCCCAACGCCCUGAAGACAAUUAACCACGCCUUUUCUCUAGUUAAAUACGUCCCCAUUCUUGUUAUCCACGCCUCCUUCUAAGUUAGUCACGACCCCGUCGAAAUUAAUAAGACUCUCUCCGUUAUUAGCCACGCCCCUGUUAAAGUUAGUCACUCCCUCAUCGCCGCAGAACUUCCCCCGGCGCCAAUGACAACGCCCUUACCUUAGUAAAACACUCCCUUUCCAUAAACUUAAAGCCGAUAUGAUUUUUAUUUUGUUAUUGUACCAAUGAAGCUAUAUCAAAAAUGAUAAGUGAACGAAAUGAAUAAAUACCGAUAUUUUUUUCUUUUCCUAAUACAAUAUGUUAAGACUAAGAAGUAUUUUUCUCUACAAUGAAGUAAAUUUAUAAUAUAAGUCAUAUUUUAUUUUAAAAAGUAAUAAAAGUAGAAGAAUUAAGAAAAAUUGAAUAAAAAAAGAAUCGAUUAAAUGUUUGCGAGAAGAUCAAGGAAAACGAUCGAGAAAGAAUCUUUCGAUCUUACUAAGGCUCUGUCGGGUCGUGCGAGGCAGUUAGUCGCAUUAGCGCCGCAAUGAAAGCGUAGCUCGCACCCGAGGUCUGCAAUCGUUUUCGAUCGGUGCACGCUCGAAUGCACUCGCGUUCGCGAGCCAGGCCGAUCUUAAUUACAAUCGCAAAUGAGACGGCGAGCGGAUAAUUGCGGACUAUGUUGCAAGUAUCCACAAAGUUGUUCGACCGUUUAUCCUGAGCAAAGCUACUCUGCAUUGCCACGAAUCGAUCUCUAAUAUAUGGAUUUAGACUUACUAAAUCUAAUCGAUUUUUUUCCUUUUUUUUUAAUAUUGACAUAAAAGUAAUGUUAAGGUAUAAUUAUGAACACAUAGUAAUUUAUACAUUAAAAUUAUUAAUAUCAAUGAAAGAAAAUGUUGAAAGAAUUCAUGUAAAUAAACUGUUAAAUGUUGCUUAGAAACAACUACUGAAUAUUAGAAAAAUAUUGUAUACUUGUUAUAAAAUGUCCGAUACAUAUUCAUUAAAAGUAACACACUGAUGUAACAAAAUUCAGAAUCAGGAAAUACAUUAAACGUUGCUGAGCAACACGAUACGUAAAUCGUUGAUAAGAAUAGCUGGUGUACAUGUAGAUUAAAAAAAAAAAAAAAAAAAAAAAGAAAAAAAAAAGAAAAAAAAACAGAAAAAAAAGAAUAAA